rnacentral:rRNA from 1 species
CUACGUGCCAGCAGCCGCGGUAAUACGGAGGGUGCGAGCGUUAAUCGGAAUUACUGGGCGUAAAGCGAGCGCAGACGGUUACUUAAGCAGGAUGUGAAAUCCCCAGGCUCAACCUGGGAACUGCGUUCUGAACUGGGUGACUAGAGUGUGUCAGAGGGAGGUAGAAUUCCACGUGUAGCAGUGAAAUGCGUAGAGAUGUGGAGGAAUACCGAUGGCGAAGGCAGCCUCCUGGGAUAACACUGACGUUCAUGCUCGAAAGCGUGGGUAGCAAACAGGAUUAGAUACCCUGGUAGUCCACGCCCUAAACGAUGUCAAUUAGCUGUUGGGCAACUUGAUUGCUUAGUAGCGUAGCUAACGCGUGAAAUUGACCGCCUGGGGAGUACGGUCGCAAGAUUAAAACUCAAAGGAAUUGACGGGGACCCGCACAAGUGGUGGAGCAUGUGGUUUAAUUCGACGCAACGCGAGGAACCUUACCAGGUCUUGACAUAC